rnacentral:rRNA from 1 species
CACCACCCGUCGCUACUACCGAUGGAUUAUUUAGUGAAGUCUUUGAAGGUGAAUAUUUCCUGGUCCCUCGGGAUUACUUUUGAAUCGCUGACGUUGAUCGAACUUGAUGAUUUAGAGGAAGUAAAAGCUUAUAUAUCAUGGUUGCCGUAGGUGAACCUGCGGAAG